rnacentral:rRNA from 1 species
AUGGCGGCCCCGAUGUUGAACCAGCUCAACACCCUCGUGGCCAACAUGUUCGCCGCGGGUUUGCUGGACGAUCAGUUCCAGGAGCUGCAGAUGCUCCAGGAAGGGAGCGCCCCAGACUUCAUCGACAAGGUUGUCACGCUCUUCUCUGAGGAUGGCGAGCGUAUCAUCGGCGAGAUCGCCAAGCUGCUGGACAAGCCAUGUGUGGACUAUCACAAGGUGAGCCGUUUUGUGCUUGAACUCAAGGGAAGCAGUGCAUGUAUUGGUGCUCAGAGAGUGAAGAACAGUUGCAUUCAGUUCCAUCAGUGUUGUCAGGAGAAGAGCAGAGAUGGGCCAGUACCUUGUAUCAUUAUGUCACACUAUUGUAUUUUCGAUCAUUUUGUUACUCAAAUCUCAUACUGA